GGCUGGUCUGAAGGUAGUGAGUUAUCUCAGUUGAUUGUUCACAGUCAGUUACAGAUCGAACUCCUUGUUCUUUCCUUCCCCUUUCUCACUGCUGCUCUUGACUAGUCUUAA
ensembl:misc_RNA Y_RNA Y RNA